GACGAACGCUGGCGGCGGGCUUAACACAUGCAAGUCGAACGGCAACGCCCUGAUUUUGUGGUGUUACCGGGUGGCGAACGCGUGAGUAACACGUGAGUAACCUGCUCUUGUCUUUGGGGUAGCUUCAGGAAACUGGGGCUAAUCUCGGAUAGCAGACCCUGUUGCAUGGAGGGGGGUGGAAAUUCUCAGCGGUCGUGGAUGGACGCGCGGGUGAUGGGCUUGUUGGUUGGCGAGUGGCUUACCCAGGAAUUGAAGGGUCGGCGGCCUGAGAGCGUGGCCGGCGACAAGGGGACUAAGAUACGGCCCAGACGCGUACGGUAGGCAGUAGUGGGGAAUCUUGUACAAUGGGCGGAAGCCUGAUGCAGCAACGCCCGGGGCGGGAUGACGGCCUGCUGGUUGAGAACCGCUGUCGCCUGUGACGAAGCGGGAGUGACGGUAACGGGUGAAGAAGCACCGGCUAACUACGUG
rnacentral:rRNA from 1 species